rnacentral:rRNA from 1 species
CGACCGGCGCACGGGUGCGUAACGCGUAUGCAACCUACCUUUAACAGGGGGAUAACACUGAGAAAUUGGUACUAAUACCCCAUAAUAUCAUAGAAGGCAUCUUUUAUGGUUGAAAAUUCCGAUGGUUAGAGAUGGGCAUGCGUUGUAUUAGCUAGUUGGUGGGGUAACGGCUCGCCAAGGCGACGAUACAUAGGGGGACUGAGAGGUUAACCCCCCACACUGGUACUGAGACACGGACCAG